AGAGAAAAGAAAGAAAGGGAAAAAAAAAAAGAAAGAGUCGAAAGGGUUUCAAGGUGUUUAUCGAGGAUCGAUGAUCGAUUGGCUGCGGCGGAUCGAUCGUAGCCGCGAUGCCAACAUUGCAUCGGUCGUUGACACAGUUCCCCGCUUGAAAUUCGGCCCAGUGUGUCUAGCUGCUCCAGUUGAUCCAGGGAUUUUCAAUAUCACGGGUUGAGAAAGGAUGAAGGCUGAAAGCAACAACGGAUACUUGAAGACGAGCGUAAUCGUGGAGCAGAACGAGAUAUCGCUUGGUUCCGGUCAGGAGACACCUGCCACUAGUCCUCUUCAGGUGACUUAUGGCCCCCGUGGAAGCGCAACGACCACGGUCCUUCAGAAGCAUCCUGGGAACAGGCGGAAGUCGCUAGGAAUAACGCGGGCGACGUCAAUCAGACGAAGAGGGCCGGCCAACAGGCAGCAAUUGCUCGGUGUGCUCGCCGUCNCUCUCCUCGCCACUUGCCUUUUUAUUCUUCUGCUGUUGGCGUUGAACACGAGCCGCGAAUGCGUGCAAGAGCCCCGUCCAAACGUUUGCAUGACAGAGGAAUGCAUCAGAACAGCUGCCAGUCUACUCUCGGCGAUGGAUCGGACAGCAGCGCCAUGCGUGAAUUUUUUCCAGUACGCGUGUGGUACGUGGAACCGUCGUCACGUGAUCCCAGAGGAUCGAAGUUCGAUCAGCACGUUCGAAGUGUUGGCCAAUCAGUUACAAGUAAUUCUGAAACGCAUCCUGGAGGAACCACCGAACAACGAAGACAACAACGCCACCUUGAAAGCGAAGAUGUUCUACAAGUCGUGCAUGGACAUCCCUCGUAUAAGGAAGAUAGGAGAUACACCAUUGAGAAAGACGUUAGAGUUUCUUGGCGGUUGGCCAGUAGUGGUUGGACCAUCAUGGAAGCCACCUCCAUAUUCCGUCGAGGUUUUGCUAGGUCGAUUAAGAGGCCAGUACAACGAGGGAGUGUUGUUGGAACAAUGGGUCGGUCCAGAUGACAAGAACUCCUCAGCCAAUAUCCUCCAGCUGGAUCAGAUGCAAGUAGCGUUGCCAAGUAGAGACUAUUACUUGAAGAAGAGCAGCGAGUCUCAACUACACGCGUAUCAUCGUUAUAUGACAAACGUUGCUGUAUUGAUGGGUGCUAAUAGACAGACAGCUGUCGAGGAAUUCAAUCGCGUAAUCAAUUUGGAGAAACAAUUAGCAAAUGUGUCGAUACCAGAGGAUGAUAGACACGAUACGUCCGCUAUUUAUCGGAAGUUGACAUUGCGCGAGCUGCAGCGUGAAAUUCCACAAUUGAAGUGGCACGAGUAUCUUCAAGAAUUCAUCAAUUCUCCUAUAACGGAAGAAGAGCCCAUUGUUGCGUACGCCAUGCCAUAUUUCAUGCAAAUGGGUCGUAUCGUAAAAAGAACGGAUCGCAGAACGUUGCAUAAUUAUAUAUUGUGGAGAUUGGUCAUGUCCAUAAUGCCUCACAUGAUAGACGAAUAUCAGCAAAAGAGAGUCGAAUUUCGGAAGAUACUGUUGGGUAUACUAAGUGAGAGGGAUAGAUGGUCUCAAUGUGUUGAAUGGACGAACAAAAAGCUUGGUAUGGCCGUGGGUGCACUUUUCAUUCGUGACAACUUCAAUCAUGAAAGCAAGGAGACGGCACUCGAGAUGAUUCGCACCAUACGAGAGGCGUUUAACGAGUUAUUGGCCGAAAAUCAUUGGAUGGAUAAUGAAACUAGAGCCGUGGCCAAGAACAAAGCUAACUCAAUGAAUGAAAGAAUUGGAUAUCCUGAAUUUUUAAAAGAUCCUGUUGAACUUUCCAAGGAAUAUGUAAUGUUGAACAUUACCGAGAAUCAUUUCCUUGAGAACGUGCUAGCUGUGUUGAGAUACGACGCUUAUCACAAUUUGGAGAAGCUGCGAAAACCGGUUGAUAAGGACAAAUGGUCAACAGAGCCAGCCGUGGUAAAUGCCUUCUACAAUCCCAAUAAAAACGACAUUGUUUUUCCAGCUGGAAUUCUUCAGCCACUCUUCUACUCUCAGCAUUUUCCAAAAUCGUUGAAUUAUGGUGGAAUAGGUGUGGUGAUUGGCCAUGAGAUUACUCACGGUUUUGAUGAUAAAGGACGUCAGUUUGAUAAGGAUGGAAACAUGAUGCAAUGGUGGAACAAUGCCACUGUGAAAGCUUUCAGGGAAAGGGCUCAAUGUAUUGUGGAUCAAUAUUCAAGAUACAAAUUGCAAGAGGUUGAUCUGUACAUCAAUGGAAAAAUGACUCAAGGAGAGAAUAUUGCUGAUAAUGGAGGACUCAAACAAUCAUUUCGGGCAUACAAGAAAUGGGUGUCGAUACAUGGCGAAGAACCAUUACUUCCUGGUGUAAAUCUUACUCAUGAUCAACUGUUUUUUUUGAACUACGCUCAGAUAUGGUGUGGAUCCAUGAGACCAGAAGAUGCAUUGACGAAAAUACGAAGCAGCGUUCAUUCACCAGGUCCAAUAAGAGUUCUGGGUCCUUUAUCCAAUAGCGAAGACUUUGCCAGGGCCUAUGAUUGUCCUCUAGGCUCACCGAUGAAUCCAACUCAAAAGUGUAAUGUUUGGUAAUGCAGAAUUCUUUGAAAGAAAAAGAAUAAACAAAAAAAUAUUUGGAUACUUGUGAUGAUAUUUAAUGUCACAAUUAUAUUUCGUGCCAUAAGAAGACUUUAAUCAUUUUAUUGACUAGUGACCACGAUGAAAGACCAUGAAAGAUCAGUAUUAUUUCAUCGUGAUUCACUUUGUGUUCCGGUGAUUCGAUUUGCUGAUCGAUGUAUAGUUGAAGAGAGGAUUUUAUUUCUGUGUAUACAUGCGUGUGUAUGAAAAAGUGCGCCUGUUAAAUAGAAAUCGUGGAGAGAAAAAGUUGAUCAUAGUAUCAGCUUAAAAUUCCAUGGUUAAAAGCUACGUAAGAUGUAUAUAAAAGAUAUGUUUUAAUCAUGUAAUCCUAAUUGUGUGAUUCAUCUCGUCGAAGACGAGUCUAAAAUAAAUUUUUCGAUCAAAUGAAACAAACAAAAA
rnacentral:misc_RNA from 1 species